GACGAACGCUGGCGGCGUGCUUAACACAUGCAAGUCGAACGGAAAGGCCCUGCUUUUGUGGGGUGCUCGAGUGGCGAACGGGUGAGUAACACGUGAGUAACCUGCCCUUGACUUUGGGAUAACUUCAGGAAACUGGGGCUAAUACCGGAUAGGAGCUCCUGCUGCAUGGUGGGGGUUGGAAAGUUUCGGCGGUUGGGGAUGGACUCGCGGCUUAUCAGCUUGUUGGUGGGGUAGUGGCUUACCAAGGCUUUGACGGGUAGCCGGCCUGAGAGGGUGACCGGCCACAUUGGGACUGAGAUACGGCCCAGACUCCUACGGGAGGCAGCAGUGGGGAAUAUUGCACAAUGGGCGGAAGCCUGAUGCAGCAACGCCGCGUGCGGGAUGACGGCCUUCGGGUUGGAAACCGCUUUCGCCUGUGACGAAGCGUGAGUGACGGUAAUGGGUAAAGAAGCACCGGCUAACUACGUGC
rnacentral:rRNA from 1 species